UCAUUCUAUCUGUAUAUUCAGUUUUAAACACCCACAGUCGUGCUCUGAGAUACAGGCCAAGAGCAAAGGACACUUGUGGGAGUUGUAGGUGUUGACACAACAGUCAAAUCUAUUUGGUCUCAAGCUUUAUGCUUGGACCUGCUCAUCUAACUCUGGCUGAUCCAUUCGUGUCUCACACGGGUAACGUGGCUUUUUCUUUCCAUUUCCAGGAGUCCCCAAAUGCAGGUGGCCAGCCCCCUGACCAGUUGGUUGGUACCAGAGCUGGAGAGGGAUGACUGUGUUCCAUAGCCCUUGGGAAGGGUGCCUUGGCCUCCUGUCAGAUAACCUGGACUAAAACCUCUCUGGGGAAAGGAUUUGCUUUCCCUGUGUGAUCCUACGGUGUCUAAUACAACAGGACCCAACCUCAGGAUAAAUUGCAGCUGGUUGCUGGUAAUCCUUGUGGCAUAUCAGAUAGCAGCGUAACUCGGCAAGGGUAAGGUGGAGAAACCCAAACAUCCUUCUGAGGAGGUAAUUAUUCCAUUGUGAAAAUGCUCCGGGAUAUUUUUAGUGGCCAAACCCCCUGUUUCCUGACAGAAACAUAAAAUAAUGAAGCAAGUUUCACAAGGAGAAACGCUUCAGACACCUGUACUAGCUGGUGCUUUGCAGUCACGUCAGUGUUU